ACAAGCGGAGGAGCAUGUGGUUUAAUUCGAUGAUACGCGAGGAACCCUACCUGGGCUCGAACGUAAGAUGACUGUAGGUGAAAGCUUACAUCUCUUCGGAGCAUUUUACGAGGUGCUGCGAUGGUUGUCGUCAGCUCGUGCCGUGAGGUGUCGGGUUAAGUCCCAUAACGAGCGCAACCCCUACCUUUAGUUGCCAUCAGGUUAAGCUGGGGACUCUAAAGGAACUGCCUACGCAAGUAGUGAGGAAGCGGGGAUGACGUCAAAUCAGCACGGCCCUUACGUCCAGGGCUACACACGUGCUACAAUGGCCGAUACAGAGGGCAGCUACCUGGUGACAGGAUGCAAAUCUCCAAAGUCGGUCUCAGUUCGGAUCGGAGUCUGCAACCCGACUCCGUGAAGUUGGAUUCGCUAGUAAUCGCGCAUCAGCCAUGGCGCGGUGAAUACGUUCCCGGGCCUU
rnacentral:rRNA from 1 species